rnacentral:rRNA from 1 species
UAUAAGUAUAUACAGCGAAACUGCGAAUGGCUCAUUAAAACAGCUAUAGUUUAUUGAUAAUCAAACUUACAUGGAUAACCGUAGUAAUUCUAGAGCUAAUACAUGCUGUGCGCCUAACUUCUUGGAAAGGCGGUAUUUAUUAGAUAACAAMCCAAUAUUCCCUAGGUCUAUCGUGGUGAGUCAUAAUAACUGAUCGAAUUGCAAAGCCUUUGGCUGCGAUAAGUCAUUCAAGUUUCUGCCCCAUCAGCUGUAGAUGGUAGUGUAUUGGACUACCAUGGCUUUCACGGGUAACGGAGGAUUAGGGUUCGAUUCCGGAGAGGGAGCCUGAGAAACGGCUACCACAUCUAAGGAAGGCAGCAGGCGCGUAAAUUACCCAAUCCUGACUCAGGGAGGUAGUGACAAGAAAUAACGAGCAGUGACAUCUGUUACUGAAUUGCAAUGAGCCGAAUUUACACCCCAUAGUGAGGAUCGAUUGGAGGGCAAGUCUGGUGCCAGCAGCCGCGGUAAUUCCAGCUCCAAUAGCGUAUAUUAAAGUUGUUGCAGUUAAAAAGCUCGUAGUUGGACUUCUGGCAGGGCGCCGCGUGCCACAGUAGUGUGCACAAGGGCCCGGCCAUCCUUCUGUAAACGUCGGGGAAGUUUAUUCGUCCGCGGCGGGAUCAGUUAAUUUACCUUGAGAAAAUUAGAGUGUUUCAGGCAGGCGUAGCCGGAAUACAUUAGCAUGGAAUAAUGGAAUAGGACUUAGUCUCUUUGUUGGUUCGAGGGACUGGAGUAAUGAUU